AACCUGGUUGAUCUUGCCAGUAGUCAUAUGCUUGUCUCAAAGAUUAAGCCAUGCAAGUGAAAGUAUAUGCAUAUUUUAUAUGUAGAAACUGCGAACGGCUCAUUAAAACAGUUAUAAUCUACUUGAAAUUUGUACCUUACAAGGAUAACUACGGAAAAGCUGUAGCUAAUACUUGCUUUAAUGCGUUUGAAUCCUUUUGGAUUCCCGCGUAUGUACUUGUUAAGCCUUUAAGAAAGAAGUUUAUAACUUAAGGAAUUAUAACAAAGAAGUAACACAUAAUAAGGUUGCCUUAUUUAGUGUGUAUCAAUCGAGUUUCUGACCUAUCAGCUUUUGAUGUUAGGGUAUUGGCCUAACAUGGCUAUGACGGGUAACGGGGAAUUAGAGUUCGAUUCCGGAGAGGGAGCCUGAGAAAUAGCUACCACAUCUAAGGAAGGCAGCAGGCGCGUAAAUUACCCAAUUCUAAAGAAGAGAGGUAGUGACAAGAAAUAACAAUACAAGGCCAUUUCAUGGUUUUGUAAUUGGAAUGAUGGGAAUUUAAAACCUUCCCAAAAUUCAAUUGGAGGGCAAGUCUGGUGCCAGCAGCCGCGGUAAUUCCAGCUCCAAUAGCGUAUAUUAAAAUUGUUGCAGUUAAAACGCUCGUAGUUGAAUUUCAAAGAAUCAAUAUUUUAAGUAAUACUUUUGCUAUAAGAUGCUUAGACAAUACAACGUAUCUGUUCUUUGUAUUCCUUAUGCAAAAUGUGUUCUUAUUAUAAA
rnacentral:ncRNA from 1 species